rnacentral:rRNA from 1 species
UACGGAGGGGGCGAGCGUUAUUCGGAAUUAUUGGGCGUAAAGGGCGCGUAGGCGGCUGUACAAGUCAAAGGUGAAAUCCCUCGGCUCAACUGAGGAACUGCCUUUGAAACUGUACGGCUUGAGGCCGGGAGGGGGUAGCGGGAUUCCCAGUGUAGCGGUGAAAUGCGUAGAUACUGGGAGGAACACCAGUGGCGAAGGCGGCUACCUGGACCGGUUCUGACGCUGAGGCGCGAAAGCGUGGGUAGCAAACAGG